CCUACGGGUGGCAGCAGUGAGGAAUAUUGGUCAAUGGGCGGGAGCCUGAACCAGCCAAGCCGCGUGAGGGAAGAAGGUACAGCGUAUCGUAAACCUCUUUUGUCAGGGAACAAAGGCGGGGACUAGUCCCCGGAUGAGGGUACCUGAAGAAAAAGCAUCGGCUAACUCCGUGCCAGCAGCCGCGGUAAUACGGAGGAUGCGAGCGUUAUCCGGAUUUAGUGGGGUUAAGGGGUGCGCAGGCGGCCUGUUAGGUUAGCGGGAAAAGCCCGGGGCUCAACCCCGGCGAGCCGUUGAAACUGGCGGGCUGGAGUUGGGGAGAAGUACGCGGAAUGCGCGGUGUAGCGGUGAAAUGCUUAGAUAUCGCGCAGAACCCCGAUUGCGAAGGCAGCGUACCGGCUCCACACUGACGCUGAGGCACGAAAGCGUGGGUAUCGAACAGGAUUAGAUACCCCUGUAGUC
rnacentral:rRNA from 1 species